AACGGAGAAUUUAUUUCGGUAAAUUCUUAGUGGCGAACGGGUGAGUAACGCGUAGGCAACCUGCCCUCCAGUUGGGGACAACAUUCCGAAAGGAAUGCUAAUACCGAAUGUGAUCCCUUUUCCGCAUGGAGAAGGGAUGAAAGAUGGCCUCUAUUUAUAAGCUAUCGCUGGAAGAUGGGCCUGCGUCUGAUUAGCUAGUUGGUGGGGUAACGGCUCACCAAGGCGAUGAUCAGUAGCCGGUCUGAGAGGAUGAACGGCCACAUUGGGACUGAGACACGGCCCAAACUCCUACGGGAGGCAGCAGUGGGGAAUCUUCCGCAAUGGACGAAAGUCUGACGGAGCAACGCCGCGUGAGUGAUGAAGGUCUUCGGAUUGUAAAACUCUGUUGUCAGGGACGAAUGUGCGAACGUUGAAUAAGCGUUUGUAUUGACGGUACCUGACGAGGAAGCCACGGCUAACUACGUGCCAGCAGCCGCGGUAAUACGUAGGUGGCAAGCGUUGUCCGGAAUUAUUGGGCGUAAAGAGCAUGUAGGCGGGCUUUUAAGUCCGACGUGAAAAUGCGGGGCUUAACCCCGUAUGGCGUUGGAUACUGGAAGUCUUGAGUGCAGGAGAGGAAAGGGGAAUUCCCAGUGUAGCGGUGAAAUGCGUAGAUAUUGGGAGGAACACCAGUGGCGAAGGCGCCUUUCUGGACUGUGUCUGACGCUGAGAUGCGAAAGCCAGGGUAGCAAACGGGAUUAGAUACCCCGGUAGUCCUGGCUGUAAACGAUGGGUACUAGGUGUAGGAGGUAUCGACCCCUUCUGUGCCGGAGUUAACGCAAUAAGUA
rnacentral:rRNA from 1 species